AAAAGAUGAAAAUCUUUAACUCUUGAAACACAAAAAGGGCAACACUCGGAAACAUGUUACCCUAAUGAGCCCGUUAAAAAGACGGUGACCUUAUAUUUUAUUUAAAAAUAGCCUUCAAAAAUGCCGGUC
rnacentral:snRNA from 1 species